rnacentral:rRNA from 1 species
UACAGGGGGGGCAAGCGUUGUUCGGAAUUACUGGGCGUAAAGGGCUCGUAGGCGGCCAACUAAGUCCGACGUGAAAUCCCAAGGCUUAACUUUGGAACUGCGUCGGAUACUGGAUGGCUUGAAUUCGGGAGAGGGAUGCAGAAUUCCAGGUGUAGCGGUGAAAUGCGUAGAUAUCUGGAGGAAUACCGGUGGCGAAGGCGGCAUCCUGGACCGACAUUGACGCUGAGGAGCGAAAGCGUGGGGAGCGAACAGG